rnacentral:lncRNA from 1 species
AAAGAUUUACACAUCUGAAGUAGGAGGGUGAAUGGGAUUGAAGUAUUUACAGGGAGGAUUCUGAACUCCCCUCCUUCCUGCUCCAGGAAACACAGGAGAUGCAGACGGAUCACUUUACCAGCUGUCAAGGCAAAUGUUGCAGUAUAGUCCUUGCUCUCAGCAACGUUCUCAGUGUCCUGGUGAUGGGGUGCCUUGGAAGGACUGCGCAGAACAAGCUUUGUACUACCUCUGCACUUCAGGUUCUCUGUGCUGCAUAAAGCUGCACCGUUCGGAAGAAGCGAGAUUGUCUUUCCGUACAGCUACAAUGCUGCACCGCUCUCAACACAGCCUGCUUUUCCCCCAUUUACCUGGGCGGCUGCUGCUGUUUCGGCUGCUGCUGGGGCUGCUGCAGUCUCACUGCCUGUGCUUCACCCCGGCUUGGCUGACUCGAAACUCACUCGUCUGCACAUUGCUAAGGAAGAAGAACGAUGGAGCCGCAUUUUUUCUGGUUCUGGAAGCAAAGGGUUGCGAUUUGUGAUGAUUUGGGUUGGUUUUUUUUUUUGGNNNNNNNNNNNNNNNNNNNNNNNNNNNNNNNNNNNNNNNNNNNNNNNNNNGGGGGGGGGGGGGGGGGGGGGGGGGGGGGGGGGGGAAUGGAGGAGAAAGGAGGGGUGUUAAUCUAGGAUGGAGUGGGUGAAAGCUUAAAGAAACAUUAUGUAAAGUAAUCCAGUGCUCGACAAGGGCAUCAGCAGCAAGAAUCCAGCCUCUGCUGCUCCAGAGGAUUAACAUGGGGAAGCCACAGUGCUGCAGUCAGGUUUCACCUCAGUGUUGUGCUGGAGAUGGAUAAAUAAGGUAUCGGCUGCGUCUGCCUGUUAAGGCAAAGCCAUGGGAGAAGGAGAGAGCGAGUGAAUGCAAAUGCAAAAGAAAAGAAAUGCUAUGUGCUGUUUGAUUCUGUGCAUUCUCAUUGCAGAGAGGAUGGUAACAAAGCAAUGUAUGGACGAAGGGACUGUAAAUUGUAGCUCGAACACUCCUGAUGCUGUCAGGGAGGGAACUGAUGAGCUAGGUGGCUGCAGCAAUAUCCCCAGGGAAAACAGCAACCACGCACUCUGUGUGUGUAUAUAUAUGUAUGUAUGUGCUUUUGUGUGUGUGCGAGCCUGUAUAGACACGAAAGAAAGACACUUCUGACCAAUUUACAAAGGAAGUUUGUCACUUGCUGGGUCAGACUUGAUUGCAGCUUGUAUUUUCAGCUAUAGCUCUACACCCAUUUCCUGACUGAGGCGGCACUUUGCGAAAACAGAUGUAGACAGAAUUCUUUUAAGAAAUGUGAAAGCAGAUACUUUCCGCUUAACACCUUGAAGCACUGAAUCUUCUGCACUGUGCUGAGAGAAACUGUGGGGUUUCAUUUUCUCCAUCUUAAAAUCUUUAUAAACACAGCUGUAUUCAGUAUGGUGAAAAAUUCUAUACUGUAAAUAGAAAUGUGAUCAAUCUAAUCAAAAUAAAUGCAUCCCAGAUGACUUCUAGACCA